GCGUUGAUGGUUUAGUGGUAAAAUUGGCCGUUGCCACUCCGAUUCCUAAAUAGGAAGUAGCGCAGCUACUCCAGGCAAAGGACAACAUCGGCCAGCCCCGGGUUCGAUUCCCGGUCGACGCA
rnacentral:tRNA from 1 species